rfam:Rattus norvegicus chromosome 10, whole genome shotgun sequence.
GGGGAUUUAGCUCAGUGGUAGAGCGCUUGCCUAGCAAGUGCAAAGCCCUGGGUUCGGUCCCCAGCUCCG